rnacentral:rRNA from 1 species
AUUGAACGCUGGCGGCAUGCUUUACACAUGCAAGUCGAACGGCAGCGCGGGGCAACCUGGCGGCGAGUGGCGAACGGGUGAGUAAUAUAUCGGAACGUACCCAAGAGUGGGGGAUAACGUAGCGAAAGUUACGCUAAUACCGCAUACGAUCUAAGGAUGAAAGUGGGGGAUUCGCAAGAACCUCAUGCUCCUGGAGCGGCCGAUAUCUGAUUAGCUAGUUGGUGAGGUAAAGGCUCACCAAGGCGACGAUCAGUAGCUGGUCUGAGAGGACGACCAGCCACACUGGAACUGAGACACGGUCCAGACUCCUACGGGAGGCAGCAGUGGGGAAUUUUGGACAAUGGGCGCAAGCCUGAUCCAGCAAUGCCGCGUGAGUGAAGAAGGCCUUCGGGUUGUAAAGCUCUUUUGUCAGGGAAGAAACGGUAGGAGCUAAUAUCUCUUGCUAAUGACGGUACCUGAAGAAUAAGCACCGGCUAACUACGUGCCAGCAGCCGCGGUAAUACGUAGGGUGCAAGCGUUAAUCGGAAUUACUGGGCGUAAAGCGUGCGCAGGCGGUUUUGUAAGUCUGUCGUGAAAGCCCCGGGCUCAACCUGGGAAUUGCGAUGGAGACUGCAAGGCUUGAAUCUGGCAGAGGGGGGUAGAAUUCCACGUGUAGCAGUGAAAUGCGUAGAGAUGUGGAGGAACACCGAUGGCGAAGGCAGCCCCCUGGGUCAAGAUUGACGCUCAUGCACGAAAGCGUGGGGAGCAAACAGGAUUAGAUACCCUGGUAGUCCACGCCCUAAACGAUGUCUACUAGUUGUCGGGUUUUAAUUAACUUGGUAACGCAGCUAACGCGUGAAGUAGACCGCCUGGGGAGUACGGUCGCAAGAUUAAAACUCAAAGGAAUUGACGGGGACCCGCACAAGCGGUGGAUGAUGUGGAUUAAUUCGAUGCAACGCGAAAAACCUUACCUACCCUUGACAUGUACGGAAGCCACGAGAGAUCGAGGUGUGCUCGAAAGAGAGCCGUAACACAGGUGCUGCAUGGCUGUCGUCAGCUCGUGUCGUGAGAUGUUGGGUUAAGUCCCGCAACGAGCGCAACCCUUGUCAUUAGUUGCUACAUUCAGUUGAGCACUCUAAUGAGACUGCCGGUGACAAACCGGAGGAAGGUGGGGAUGACGUCAAGUCCUCAUGGCCCUUAUGGGUAGGGCUUCACACGUCAUACAAUGGUACAUACAGAGGGCCGCCAACCCGCGAGGGGGAGCUAAUCCCAGAAAGUGUAUCGUAGUCCGGAUCGCAGUCUGCAACUCGACUGCGUGAAGUUGGAAUCGCUAGUAAUCGCGGAUCAGCAUGUCGCGGUGAAUACGUUCCCGGGUCU